UAUGUGAUCGUCUCUCGCAUAUCAAUAAGCGGAGGAAAAGAAACUAACAAGGAUUCCCCUAGUAACGGCGAGUGAAGCGGGAAGAGCUCAAAUUUGAAAUCUUAAAGGGUUUCCCUUUACGAAUUGUAGUUUAAAGAAGUGUUUUCUGUUGAGGUUUUGGUAAAAGUUCUUUGGAAUAGGACAUCAUAGAGGGUGAGAAUCCCGUAUUUGACCUUUACUUUCAACUUUGUGAUACACUUUCAAAGAGUCGGAUUGUUCGGGAAUGCAGUCCAAAAUGGGUAGGUAAAUUUCAUCUAAAGCUAAAUAUUGGCGAGAGACCGAUAGCGAACAAGUACCGUGAGGGAAAGAUGAAAAGAACUUUGAAAAGAGAGUUAAACAGUACGUGAAAUUGUCAAAAGGGAAGCGUUUGACACCAGUGUUGUUUUUCUGAAAAUCAAUUAAAGAACUGUUUAUGCUAAGUUGUUUAGACUUUAUCAGCUAUCUGUUUAGUUUUGAGCUUUUCUUUAAUGCACUUUUCAGUUAACAAGUCAACAUCAAUUUCUUUUGCUGUAAAAAAGCUUGAGGAAGGUGGCUUGAGAUUCGUCUUAAGUGUUUAUAGCCUCUUGCCUAUGCAGUCGGAGAGAUUGAGGUCUGCAGCGUAGAUCCUUCGGGGCUAAAUGCAUUUGUGCUAAGUUAUAGCAUUUUAUAGACAACUUGUUGACUAUGAUUUGUCUUGUAGCUUACUCGCUUAUGUUAUUUUACCUACGCUUAGGAUGUUGAGUAGCGACAUACGCAC
rnacentral:rRNA from 1 species